rnacentral:tRNA from 1 species
ACACUGGUGGCUCAGUGGUAGAAUUCUUGCCUUCCGUGCAGGAGACCCGGGUUUGAUUCCUGGCCAAUGCA